UGAUCAGCAUGUGGUGGAUCUGAAGAUUCU
rnacentral:piRNA from 1 species